CAUAACUAUAGGAAGCGAACCAGGUGAACUGAAACAUCUAAGUAACCUGAGGAAAAGAAAGAAAACUCGAUUCCCUGAGUAGCGGCGAGCGAACGGGGAAGAGCCCAAAGUGUAAAAAGAGACAAUAGCCAGCUAAAUAAUCUGGGAAGAUUAACCAAAGAAGGUAAGAGUCCUGUAGGCGAAAGCGAAGAUAUCCGACACAAAAGAGUACCACGGAACACGAGAAAUUCAGUGGGAACAUGGGGGGACCACCCCCUAAGGCUAAAUACUACUUGGUGACCGAUAGCGAACAAGUACCGUGAGGGAAAGGUGAAAAGAACCCCGAGAGGGGAGUGAAAUAGAAUCUGAAACCUAGUGUUUACAAGCAGCGAAAGUGGCAUACGCCACGAUCGUGUACUUUUUGUAGAACGGGCCAGCGAGUUACGAUUACUAGCAAGGUUAAGCAUUACAGAUGUGGAGCCGAAGCGAAAGCGAGUCUAAAUAGGGCGAAAGUUAGUAGUUGUAGACCCGAAACCGUGUGAUCUAUCCAUGAGCAGAGUGAAGUUGAAGUAAAAUUCAAUGGAGGCUCGAACCGGGUAACGUUUAAAAGUUAUCGGAUGACUUGUGGAUAGGGGUGAAAAGCCAAACGAACACGGAGAUAGCUGGUUCUCCUCGAAAUAGCUUUAGGGCUAGCCUCUAGUAAGACAUGAAAAGGGGGUAGAGCACUGAUUGGUUGCGGGGCAUGCAUAUGUUACCAAAACCUAUCAAACUCCGAAUACCAUAUCAUGCACUAGGGAGUCAGACUAUGUGGGAUGAGCUUCAUAGUCGAAAGGGAAAGAGCCCAGACCAUCAGCUAAGGUCCCAAAAUUAUAGUUAAGUGGGAAAGGAUGUGGAGUUACUGAGACAACUAGGAUGUUGGCUUAGAAGCAGCCACUCAUUUAAAGAGUGCGUAAUAGCUCACUAGUCAAGUGACUCUGCGCCGAAGAUAACCGGGGCUAAACUAUAUACCGAAGCUAUGGAACGAAUAACGUUGGUAGAGGAGCAAUGUAUGAAGGACGAAGCAUAAGCCGUAAGGCAGUGUGGACAUCAUACAAGAGAGAAUGCUGGCAUGAGUAGCGAGAGGUGAGUGAGAAUCUCACCCGUCGAAAACCCAAGGAUUCCUGAGCAAGGCUCGUCCACUCAGGGUAAGUCGGGACCUAAGGCGAGGCUGAAAAGCGUAGUCGAUGGACAACAGGUUGAAAUUCCUGUACCGAUACAAUCGUUAAAGGAAGUGGGGACGCAGGAGGAUAAUAAGAGCGCCCAGUUGGUGAGGCGUGCAAGCGCAAAGUCUGGAGAGUAGGCAAAUCCGCUCUCCGAAAAGGAUGAAGCGUAAUGCGGAUCGAAAACAAGUAGAGAAGCUUAUGACUCCACACUGCCAAGAAAAGCCACUACAAGAGAAGUAUCGCCCGUACCGUAAACCGACACAGGUAGGUGAGGAGAGAAUCCUAAGACGAGCGGAAAAACCUUUGUUAAGGAACUCGGCAAAAUGACCCCGUAACUUCGGGAGAAGGGGAGCCCCUGUAACAGGGGGCCGCAGUGAAAAGGCCCAAGCGACUGUUUACCAAAAACACAAGUUUCUGCUAAGUCGAAAGACGAAGUAUAGGAGCUGACACCUGCCCGGUGCUGGAAGGUUAAGGGAAAAAGUUAGCGCAAGCGAAGCUUAGAACUGAAGCCCCAGUAAACGGCGGCCGUAACUAUAACGGUCCUAAGGUAGCGAAAUUCCUUGUCGGGUAAGUUCCGACCCGCACGAAAGGUGUAACGAUUUGGGUACCCACGACAGGACGGAAAGACCCCGUGGAGCUUUACUGUAGGCUGAGAUUGAAUUUUGGGAUUAAAUGUACAGAAUAGGUGGGAGGCAAAGAAUUAGGUACGCCAGUAUCUAAGGAGCCACCGUUGGGAUACCACUCUUUUAAUGCUAGAAUUCUAACCUAACCCCAUGAAUCUGGGGAAGGGACACUCUCAGUUGGACAGUUUGACUGGGGCGGUCGCCUCCGAAAGAGUAACGGAGGCGUUCAAAGGUUCCCUCAGCACGGAUGGAAAUCGUGCGCAGAGUAUAAAGGCAGAAGGGAGCUUAACUGCGAGACCAACAAGUCGAGCAGAUGCGAAAGCAGGACUUAGUGAUCCGGUGGUACCGAGUGGAAGGGCCAUCGCUCAACGGAUAAAAGCUACCCCGGGGAUAACAGGCUUAUCUCCCCCAAGAGUCCACAUC
rnacentral:rRNA from 1 species